rnacentral:rRNA from 1 species
GGGUUGUGAGGUUAAGCGACUAAGCGUACACGGUGGAUGCCCUGGCAGUCAGAGGCGAUGAAGGACGUGCUAAUCUGCGAUAAGCGUCGGUAAGGUGAUAUGAACCGUUAUAACCGGCGAUUUCCGAAUGGGGAAACCCAGUGUGAUUCGUCACACUAUCAUUAACUGAAUCCAUAGGUUAAUGAGGCGAACCGGGGGAACUGAAACAUCUAAGUACCCCGAGGAAAAGAAAUCGACCGAGAUUCCCCCAGUAGCGGCGAGCGAACGGGGAGCAGCCCAGAGCCUGAAUCAGUGUGUGUGUUAGUGGAAGCGUCUGGAAAGGCGCGCGAUACAGGGUGACAGCCCCGUACACAAAAAUGCACAUAUUGUGAGCUCGAUGAGUAGGGCGGGACACGUGGUAUCCUGUCUGAAUAUGGGGGG